GAGUUUGAUCGUGGCUCAGAUUGAACGCUGGCGGCAUGCUUUACACAUGCAAGUCGAACGGGUGUAGCAAUACACUAGUGGCGAACGGGUGAGUAAUGCAUCGGAACGUACCGUGUAGUGGGGGAUAACCCGGCGAAAGUCGGAUUAAUACCGCAUGAGAUCUACGGAUGAAAGCAGGGGAUCGUAAGACCUUGCGCUAUAUGAGCGGCCGAUGUCGGAUUAGCUAGUUGGUGAGGUAAAGGCUCACCAAGGCAACGAUCCGUAGCGGGUCUGAGAGGAUGAUCCGCCACACUGGGACUGAGACACGGCCCAGACUCCUACGGGAGGCAGCAGUGGGGAAUUUUGGACAAUGGGGGCAACCCUGAUCCAGCCAUGCCGCGUGUGUGAAGAAGGCCUUCGGUU
rnacentral:rRNA from 1 species